rnacentral:lncRNA from 1 species
AUGCCCCCAGGGUGGUGCUGGGCUCUGCCCUGUCCCUGUGCCCGGGGCUGCUGGAGGAGUGGGGAACCUUCCCUAGGGCCCCCCAGCUUCAGGACCCCCCUGCUUCUGUCCUGCAUGGGCAGGGUGGGAGCUAUCCUCUGCACCCCCCUGCUCUGUCCCCGCUUCCUGGGGUUUUAUGCAGGCAUUGAGCCAGGGACCAGCUCAGCUGCCGGCCCUGCCCUUGGACAGGUGGGCAAGCAGCAGUUUAAAGGGCUUUUAAAAAUUAUUCUUUUCCUUUUUGCCUUCCAGGAGCAGAGAGCAAAGCCCCUCUGGAGAGACCCACAUUUGGGGACAUCUACCAUGUCAAAGGAGCCAUCAGCCUGCCCUAUGCCGAGAUCAGGGAGCCCUUUGAAGCCUGGUACAACCUCACCGGGGGGAAGAGCCGCAUCGAGUACUACGGCGGUGGGUGCAGAAAGCUCGCGGCCGCCCCACUCCUCUGCUCCCCACGGAGCCACCCCAGUGCCAGCACCAUGGCUGGAACCCGGUGCUGUCCCAUCCCCAGGCCAAGUGGUCACGUUCCAGUUCGGCUCCGUGGGGCCCUUCGGUGCCAGCUUCAAGGUGACACCGGAGACCACGGAGACGGAGGUCAACGUCCGCAAGUGUUUCCGCAUCAACGGCACCGACAGGGAUCCCAUCGCCCCACAGAGCGUCUUCCCCAGCCUGGAGCACUUCAGGGUGAGCCCUGGGAACAAGGCACGGGAGGGGACAGGGGACGACGGUGGUUGCCACCAGAGCUCCCAGUGAGAGGGUGGAAGUGGUCGGGAAUGGGGCAAACGCGAGGCCAGGUCCAGGUCUGGCAUCCUGGGGGGGGGCACGGUGCCCAGCUGGGGACGCGGUGGCAGCGCGGUGUCCCCGACGUUCCAGUGGGUGCGGGAGGAGCGGUUCCGCGGGCAGCACUGCGCCGUAUGGCAGAACGUCUCCUACUGGGGCCAUAAGAAGAACGUCUACACGCUGCGGGUGGGCAGCUCGGCGCGAGGCCCCGUGCCCCUGCACUACGAGGUGCGGGGCUACAACAGCCUGCUGGGCUCCCACUACGACAAGUACGAGAUCGAGUACAGCGCCUUCGGGCACCGCUUCGCCCCCAGCGUCUUCCAGCUCCCGCAUGGUGAGCGGCCGCUGCCACCCCAGGGCCCUGCUGGGGGUGUGCCUGCAUGAAACACGGCUCUGCAUCCCUCUCUUUAACUUGUUUGAGUGGAGUUGCAUGCACCCUCUCGUUUUGGUCAAUAGGUUUAGGAGAAAGGGGGGUGGGACGAAAGGUAAAAAUGUUAACUGCGGUGAUCCCGGUGCUGGGGAACCCCAUCCUGGUGAGGUGCAGGGAUGCUCCAGCUCUGGUUGCAGAUGCA